GGAUGGGUCUGCGGCCGAUUAGGUAGUUGGUUAGGUAAUGGCUUACCAAGCCUUUGAUCGGUACGGGUUGUGAGAGCAAGAGCCCGGAGAUGGAACCUGAGACAAGGUUCCAGGCCCUACGGGGUGCAGCAGGCGCGAAACCUCCGCAAUGUGAGAAAUCGCGACGGGGGGAUCCCAAGUGCCAUUCUUAACGGGAUGGCUUUUCUUUAGUGUAAAAAGCUUUUGGAAUAAGAGCUGGGCAAGACCGGUGCCAGCCGCCGCGGUAACACCGGCAGCUCUAGUGGUAGCAAUUUUUAUUGGGCCUAAAGCGUCCGUAGCCGGUUUAAUAAGUCUCUGGUGAAAUCCUGUAGCUUAACUGUGGGAAUUGCUGGAGAUACUAUUAGACUUGAGACCGGGAGAGGUUAGAGGUACUCCCAGGGUAGAGGUGAAAUUCUGUAAUCCUGGGAGGACCGCCUGUUGCGAAGGCGUCCAACUGGAACGGUUCUGACGGUGAGGGACGAAAGUUAGGGGCGCGAACCGGAUUAGAUACCCGGGUAGUCCUAACUGUAAACGAUGCGGACUUGGUGUUGGGGUGGCUUUGAGCUGCUUCAGUGCCGAAGGGAAGCUGUUAAGUCCGCCGCCUGGGAAGUACUGUCGCAAGACUGAAACUUAAAGGAAUUGGCGGGGGAGCAC
rnacentral:rRNA from 1 species